UACAGGGGGUGCGAGCGUUAAUCGGAAUAACUGGGCGUAAAGGGCAUGCAGGCGGACUUUUGAGUGAGGUGUGAAAUCCCUGGGCUUAACCUGGGAAUUGCAUUUCAUACUGGGGGUCUAGAGUACUUGAGGGAGGGGUAGAAUUCCACGUGUAGCGGUGAAAUGCGUAGAGAUGUGGAGGAAUACCGGAGGCGAAGGCAGCCCCUUGGAAGUGUACUGACGCUAAUGUGCGAAAGCGUGGGGAGCAAACAGG
rnacentral:rRNA from 1 species